GAUGAAGAACGUAGCGAAAUGCGAUACGUAAUGUGAAUUGCAAAUUCAGUGAAUCAUCGAGUCUUUGAACGCACAUUGCGCCCCCUGGUAUUCCGGGGGGCAUGCCUGUCCGAGCGUCAUUGCUGCCCUCAAGCACGGCUUGUGUGUUGGGCCCCGUCCUCCGAUCCCGGGGGACGGGCCCGAAAGGCAGCGGCGGCACCGCGUCCGGUCCUCGAGCGUAUGGGGCUUUGUCACCCGCUCUGUAGGCCCGGCCGGCGCUUGCCGAUCAACCCAAGUUUUUUAUCCAGGUUGACCUCGGAUCAGGUAGGGAUACCCGCUGAACUUAAGCAUAUCAAUAAGCGGAGGA
rnacentral:misc_RNA from 1 species